rnacentral:rRNA from 1 species
GACGAACGCUGGCGGCGUGCCUAAUACAUGCAAGUAGAACGCACAGUUUAUACCGUAGCUUGCUACACCAUAGACUGUGAGUUGCGAACGGGUGAGUAACGCGUAGGUAACCUGCCUGGUAGCGGGGGAUAACUAUUGGAAACGAUAGCUAAUACCGCAUAAUAUUAAUUAUUGCAUGAUAAUUAAUUGAAAGGUGCAAUUGCACCACUACCAGAUGGACCUGCGUUGUAUUAGCUAGUAGGUGAGGUAACGGCUCACCUAGGCGACGAUACAUAGCCGACCUGAGAGGGUGAUCGGCCACACUGGGACUGAGACACGGCCCAGACUCCUACGGGAGGCAGCAGUAGGGAAUCUUCGGCAAUGGACGAAAGUCUGACCGAGCAACGCCGCGUGAGUGAAGAAGGUUUUCGGAUCGUAAAGCUCUGUUGUAAGAGAAGGACGGGUGUGAGAGUGGAAAGUUCACACUGUGACGGUAUCUUACCAGAAAGAGACGGCUAACUACGUG